AUUAGGUGAACAAAACUAAAUCCAGUUUUCAACAAAACUCUCGUUCAUCGCAUUUCACCGAAAUUUCUGAGUUCUUCUCAAAGAGAAUCCAAACCCAGUUUCAUCGUACUUCACCGAAACCCUUUUCACCAUCCCAGUGACGACAACGAAGCUCAAGAAUUUUGAGAGUUCACCAUCGCCCAUUUCAUAGUGACGACAUGCAUUGGUAAAACGAAAGUAGGGUUUUAUACUUUGAGCGACAUGCAUUGGUAGCUGAAGAAAUUAGGGUUUUAUACUCUUGAAAAUGCUUCAAAACAGUUGAUAGAUCACUUGAGGAAUGAGUAUGAUAAGGUUCUUGAACACAACAAUGACUUGAUUUUUGGUGAAUUGAGGCAGAGGAAUGUGAAUAGUAGUUCUGAGGAUUUAGUUGCUUCUCUGGUGGGCGAUGAAGGUGAAAUUGGGAAGGGCGAUGAUAGUGUGAAGGCGAGUUCGGUCGAGCUCGAGACACCGAGAAAAUAAACUGAAAGGAGUGUCUACAAAAUCGAAAACGGUGGAAUCGGCUGACUGGAAGUGGAUAAUGGAAGAAGAUCCAAAUUUGAAUAGUUUAAAGACAUCGAUGACAUUGAAUUCUUCGAUGCAUGAAAAGGAUCACAAGGAGAGGGUACUCCUUUGGUUUGUGGUUUCCCUCUCGCUAUUGGUAGUCGGAUAUAUUCUGGAGAUUUUAGGUAUUGAAUACUCAGUCUCAGCACAAAACAAAACUGAAAGGAAUUCUAUUGGCAGCUACAAGGAAGCAGAGAUUUGAGAGAGUAACCAAGAACCUGAAGUUGACAAGAGUGUUUUCUACUUUGGUAGCAGAGAUGAGAGUAAUCGAUGACGGCGUUAAGGGAGUCAUGGUCCCGAAGGAACUCAGUGAGAGGAGUCCAGUGCUACUAUUCAUGAGUGGCGGCAUGGGAGCCGGAAAAGUAUCGUUCUUAAAGACAUUCUAAGAGAGCAUCUUCAAAGGCUGUGGUUGUUGAGGCAGAUGCCUUUAAGGAGAGAGAUGUUACAUAUAAAACCCUUAAUUCUAGAGGUCACCAUGAUGACAUGCUUCAAACUUCUGGAUUGGUACAUCAAUCUCCCACUGAUGCUGCUUCGUCUCUACUCGUGACAUGCUGUGUGUUUGUGCCAAACAAGAGAAUGAGAUGGGCCUGUGAAUGUGAUUCUUUGAGACUUAUUUAAGGAUAUGCUCAGGUGGAUGCAAGCAACACUAGUUGACUUUUAUAUCAAUGUUGUGGCCCUAGCAGGAAACUUGUUUUUGCUGAGCCUGUUCCCAAGGAUAACGAAGCUGCAACUUGGAGAGACAAGUUAGAUCAGCUUUAUAAGAGUUCAUCACAAAGUUUUAGAGUUGUUGUUCACGGAUCAAAAAUUAGCUCCUCAAUUCUCUCACGCUCGCUUGAUACGCUACUUGUUUAUAUGAUAUUUGGAGCAUGUCCUUCAGAAAUGAGGUGGAAAUGAGACAAAGUUUGCUGUGUAAUAUAUUUUACAUUGAAGACAGUGCAUUAGAAGUUAAGUAGAAGUGAAAAUGAAUUAAAUUGAUAGUUUGAGAGAGAAUUCUCUAAACCGUAUCUGAAUUUCAUGCAUGUGAAUGAGUAACAACAAUCAGUUGAAAUUAGUUAAAUUCUCCUAACUGGUAAUUGUUUCACUUUAUUAUAACUAACUGACUAAAGAGUAUAAGUCUAUAACAGAGUUUAAAAGGGCUGAAAAUAGCAGCUAGAAAUUUGUCUUCAAGUGGACUCACAGGAGAGUUAGUAUAUUCCAUAUGGAAGCUCACUAUGCUACAGUAUUUGAAUUUUUCAAACAAUAGCUUAACCGGACCUUUGCCCGAAAGUCUUAUACAACCACUAGUGCUAUUGUCAUGGAUUUGGUCUCUGAUUGCUUUGGCAUGAAUUUAGUGUGCCUUUAUAGUUCUUCUUAAACAUAAUAAUUAUGAAUUGUUUGGUAAAACUUGGUGCUGACAUUUGAUAAUAGUAAAGAUAGUGGUUAUGGUUUUAGAUAGAUUAAUUGAAGACCCAGUCAUUAUUAUUAGAUUAAUUGAUAAUGUGAUACGGUGGUGACGUCAUAAGGCAAACUUGAAUGGUUAUCUCUCCUAUCAAACUGGCCAAAGCUUAGAUAAGAUAAUUGUUUUCUUGGUUCUAGUUUUUUUGGGCCAUAAAGUUUGAAAAGAAUUAGUGAAUUUCUACUUUUAAUUGAACAAUGAUUACAUUGUUAAACUGGAAUCAAAUGGAUGGUCUCUGCAACUUCUAUCAUUUGCAUGUUUAUCUUUAGCAGCAAAUAUGGAGGAACCCCUUGUUCCUUCUCUCUUGGACCUUCAGGUAUAAACUAAUAAAUGAUUAGAAUUUAGAACCCAUGUUCAUUUGGCACUUAACAGCCUAGAACUGAAACUACAAUUAUUAUGAAGGACGGUUUUGAAAUUACUACUCAAUAUUUGUUAUAUUUUCCAUGUAGUCCACCUCUCAAUUUGAUUCUUUACUAUUAACAAUCUCUGCAUUUUAAUUUUAGGUUUCAACGUGGUUUGAACAGCAAGCCUAAUGCACUCAUCAAGAAGCUCCGCAAGGCGGCAUCAAUACUAUCACUUCCCAACAGUCUGUCAAUCACUUCAUUUUUUGCUUCUUAAGAUGUAUCCUGUUGCUUACAAUAGAAGGAUCAAUCAAACUCUUGAACGGAAGAGAAAGGUGAGUUUGUUCGACGUCGUCGACGCCGCCACCGCUAAGAUGAUGAAAACCAACAGCGGCUUAAUCAGCAACAGCCUCAUUAACCACUGGAACGGAAAUCCGUACUCUCAAAGGUACUAUGAGAUUUUGGAGAAGAGGAAAACGCUUCCUGUUUGGCACCAGAAAGAGGAUUUCUUGCAGGUUUUGAAGGAUAACUAGACUUUGAUUCUCGUUGGUGAAACUGGUAGUGGUAAAACAACGCAGAUUCCUCAAUUUGAUUUAGAGACCCCAGAUAAACGCAAGAAGAUGAUGAUUGCAUGUAGUCAGCCUCGUAGAGUGGCUGCUAUGUCUGUUUCACGACGUGUGGCUGAAGAGAUGGAUGUUACUAUUGGGGAAGAGGUCGGUUAUAGCAUCCGAUUUGAAGAUUGUAGUAGUGCAAGGACAGUUUUGAAGUAUUUAACAGAUGGUAUGCUUUUGAGAGAGGCAAUGACGAAUCCUCUUUUGGAACGAUACAAAGUAAUUAUUCUUGAUGAGGCACAUGAAAGGACUUUGGCUACAGAUGUGUUAUUUGGCCUUCUUAAGGAAGUUCUUAAAAACAGACCUGACUUGAAGUUGGUUGUUAUGAGUGCUACACUUGAAGCUGAAAAGUUUCAGGGAUAUUUUUUUGGAGCCCCUCUAAUGAAAGUUCCUGGAAGGCUACAUCCAGUUGAAAUUUUUUAUACUCAAGAACCAUUUUUUUUUUCAUUUUUUACACUCGUCAAAACUGCG